UACAGAGGUCUCAAGCGUUGUUCGGAUUCAUUGGGCGUAAAGGGUGCGUAGGCGGUCGGGUAAGUCUGAUGUGAAAUCUCACAGCUUAACUGUGAAACUGCAUUGGAUACUAUUCGGCUUGAGAGUUGGAGGGGGGACUGGAAUUCUUGGUGUAGCAGUGAAAUGCGUAGAUAUCAAGAGGAACACCAGUGGCGAAGGCGAGUCCCUGGACAACUUCUGACGCUGAGGCACGAAAGCUAGGGGAGCAAACAGG
rnacentral:rRNA from 1 species